rnacentral:rRNA from 1 species
UAUAGGGAGGAAAAGAAACCAACCGGGAUUGCCUUAGUAACGGCGAGUGAAGCGGCAAAAGCUCAAAUUUGAAAUCUGGUACCUUCGGUGCCCGAGUUGUAAUUUGGAGAGGGCAACUUUGGGGCCGUUCCUUGUCUAUGUUCCUUGGAACAGGACGUCAUAGAGGGUGAGAAUCCCGUGUGGCGAGGAGUGCGGUUCUUUGUAAAGUGCCUUCGAAGAGUCGAGUUGUUUGGGAAUGCAGCUCUAAGUGGGUGGUAAAUUCCAUCUAAAGCUAAAUAUUGGCGAGAGACCGAUAGCGAACAAGUACAGUGAUGGAAAGAUGAAAAGAACUUUGAAAAGAGAGUGAAAAAGUACGUGAAAUUGUUGAAAGGGAAGGGCAUUUGAUCAGACAUGGUGUUUUGUGCCCUCUGCUCCUUGUGGGUAGGGGAAUCUCGCAUUUCACUGGGCCAGCAUCAGUUUUGGUGGCAGGAUAAAUCCAUAGGAAUGUAGCUUGCCUCGGUAAGUAUUAUAGCCUGUGGGAAUACUGCCAGCUGGGACUGAGGACUGCGACGUAAGUCAAGGAUGCUGCAUAGCGACGU